rnacentral:lncRNA from 1 species
UUAAUACCAAUGCAAACCCUAAAACAAAAGUAUAUAGAAUUCGAAUAUGUUCCUAUCAUUAGAAUUCGUUAAAAAAAUUUAGUUAACCAUAGAUUAAACACUUAACGUUGAUUAAUUUUUUAUAUUUUUACCUCUUUAUGUUAUACUGUUAUGGCUUUUGGAGGGAUAUAUUUGUGAUGACAAAAUUAAAAAUAUAAAAACAGGUUUCUAACGGCAACAAACCAGAUGGAUAUAUUUGAAAAUAUGAGAACUUUUGCAGAAACAAUAUAUAAAAAUUAAUCUUUGUAGGGAUGUAUUUGACAUUCAGUAUGUUUAUAGGGUCGUGUAUAAAAUUAACCUUUUUUCUAUUUGAUAGUCUAAAUUAAUAGUUGUAUUUACAAACUCUGUCAUCUUUUUCGGUCAUUUUUCUUUAUGUAUAUAAAUAAAUAAAUGAGUGAAUAAAUAUAAAA